AGAGUUUGAUUCUCGGCUCAGGAUGAACGCUGGCGGCGUGCUUAACACAUGCAAGUCGAACGAGAACCAUUGGAUCGAGGAUUCGUCCAAGUGAAGAUGGGGAAAGUGGCGGACGGGUGAGUAACGCGUGAGCAAUCUGCCUUGGAGUGGGGAAUAACGGCUGGAAACAGCCGCUAAUACCGCAUGAUACAGCUGGGAGGCAUCUCCCUGGCUGUCAAAGAUUUAUCGCUCUGAGAUGAGCUCGCGUCUGAUUAGCUAGUUGGCGGGGUAACGGCCCACCAAGGCGACGAUCAGUAGCCGGACUGAGAGGUUGGCCGGCCACAUUGGGACUGAGACACGGCCCAAACUCCUACGGGAGGCAGCAGUGGGCUAAUAUUGGGCAAUGGGCGCAAGCCUGACCCAGCAACGCCGCGUGAAAGAAGAAGGCUUUCGGGUUGUAAACUUCUUUUGUCAAGGACGAAUCUAGUGACAGUACCUGACGAAUAAGCCACGGAU
rnacentral:rRNA from 1 species